rnacentral:rRNA from 1 species
CCUACGGGUGGCAGCAGUGGGGAAUAUUGGACAAUGGGCGAAAGCCUGAUCCAGCCAUGCCGCGUGUGUGAAGAAGGCCUUCGGGUUGUAAAGCACUUUCAGUGGGGAAGAAAGCCUUGGGGCUAAUACCCUCGAGGAAGGACAUCACCCACAGAAGAAGCACCGGCUAACUCCGUGCCAGCAGCCGCGGUAAUACGGAGGGUGCGAGCGUUAAUCGGAAUUAUUGGGCGUAAAGCGCGCGUAGGCGGUCUGAUAAGCCGGUUGUGAAAGCCCCGGGCUCAACCUGGGAACGGCAUCCGGAACUGUCAGGCUAGAGUGCAGGAGAGGAAGGUAGAAUUCCCGGUGUAGCGGUGAAAUGCGUAGAGAUCGGGAGGAAUACCAGUGGCGAAGGCGGCCUUCUGGACUGACACUGACGCUGAGGUGCGAAAGCGUGGGUAGCAAACAGGAUUAGAUACCCUAGUAGUC